rnacentral:rRNA from 1 species
CGGCCGCGGUAUCCUAACCGUGCGAAGGUAGCGUAAUCACUUGUUCUUUAAAUGAGGACUAGUAUGAACGGCUUCACGAAGGCUAUACUGUCUCCCUUAUCUAAUCAGUUAAACUAAUCUCCCCGUGAAGAAGCGGGGAUUCACAUAUAAGACGAGAAGACCCUAUGGAGCUUAAAACACCUCUAAACAUUUGACCUCCACACUACUAUUUUCAGAAAUCUUUACAAAGCCCGUCAUUUUGUUUUAAGUUUUAGGUUGGGGUGACCGCGGAGAAUAACCUAACCUCCACGUAGAAAGAACUUUCUUUUCUAAGCAAAAAGCUACAUCUUUAUGCAUCAACAUAUUGACCUAAUUGACCCAAUUAUUUGAUC